rnacentral:rRNA from 1 species
GCACAAGCAGCGGAGCAUGUGGUUAAUUCGAAGCAACGCGAAGAACCUUACCUAGACUUGACAUCUCCUGAAUUACCCGUAACUGGGGAAGCUCUUCGGGGCAGGAAGACAGGUGGUGCAUGGUUGUCGUCAGCUCGUGUCGUGAGAUGUUGGGUUAAGUCCCGCAACGAGCGCAACCCUUAUCGUUAGUUGCUACCAUUAGGUUGAGCACUCUAGCGAGACUGCCCGGGUUAACCGGGAGGAAGGUGGGGAUGACGUCAAAUCAUCAUGCCCCUUAUGUCUAGGGCUACACACGUGCUACAAUGGUGAGGACAAAGAGACGCAAGACCGCGAGGUGGAGCAAAUCUCACAAACCUCAUCCCAGUUCGGAUUGCAGGCUGAAACUCGCCUGCAUGAAGCCGGAGUUGCUAGUAAUCGCGGAUCAGCAUGUCGCGGUGAAUACGUUCCCGGGUCUU